rnacentral:tRNA from 1 species
GUCAGUGUGAUGUAGUGGUUUGAGCACUGGACUAUAACUCUGGAGAUCAGGGUUCAAUUCCCUACUCAACCA